GACGAACGCUGGCGGCGUGGAUUAGGCAUGCAAGUCGAACGGUAUCAUCCUUUCGGGGGUGAGAGAGUGGCGAACUGGUGAGUAACACGUAGGUUAUCUACCCUCAAGACGGGGACAACCCAGGGAAACUUGGGCUAAUACCGGAUGUGAGCAACUUUUAGUUGUUUGAAAGGUGGCGUAAGCUGUCGCUUGGGGAUGAGCCUGCGUCCUAUUAGUUAGUUGGUGAGGUAACGGCUUACCAAGGCGAUGAUAGGUAGGCGGCCUUAACGGGUGGUCGCCCACACUGGGAUUGAGAUACGGCCCAGACUCCUACGGGAGGCAGCAGUCGAGAAUAGUCUACAAUGGACGGAAGUCUGAUAGUGCGACGCCGCGUGAACGAAGAAUCCCUUCGGGGUGUAAAGUUCUUUUAUACGUGAGCAGUGUCCUUUAUAUUAAUAGUAUAAGGGGAGAGAUAUUAGCGUAUGAAUAAGCAACGGCUAACUCCGUG
rnacentral:rRNA from 1 species